GCAAAAAAUAUAUAUAUACAGACACAUACAUAUAUAUGGCCCUUUUAUCAAAUUUGAAAGAGAACAGCAUCUAAAAUCAAGUCAGUUAUAAAAAUCCAUUGUACAUAUGGUAUGUGAGUAUUUGAAUUACAGUAAGCAAGCCAGAUCUAGCAGUCUGUUACAAAGAUGGGUUGAUUGAGAAUGUCACAAUCCGAUAUGUCCAGUGUUGACACAUGGAAAUCAGAAACUAGUGCUCAAUAAAAGCAUUGACAGCUAGAAUGGCACAGGUCCAACGCAGUGAAUACUGCACACAGUUGUCUUCUUUUUACAUAUGGCAUUUAGAGUAGUCACCCUGGGUCGGACUUCACUCUUUCCCAACACCAGAAAAAAAAAUUUAAAUUUGGCAACUCAUUGGGAGACAAUAUGAUUACUAAAUUUUUAUCCAUGCUGAUAGUACCUUUUUAAGUCUAUUCUUAAACUAUUUUGUAUCCUUUAAAUGAAAUAAAGAUUACUGUAGUGCUGAUUUCAUUACAGUUUCUAACGUUUUGAGUUGUAAAAUGAAUAUACAUGUUUCUCUUUCCAAGACUUGAGGGCUGGAGCCUGCAGGUCAAGUUACAGAGCCUAUCAAGCCCAAGUUCAAACUCCAGUACUAUCAAAACAAAAUACAUUUGGUGUGGUGGUAAUCGCCUGUAAUCAACACCUAUAAUCACCAGCUAUUCAGGAAUUGGAAACCAGGACCAUCGCGGUCUGAGUUUUCUACCAAAUUUAAGUCAAGAGUUUACUAAGUAUAUUAUAGACGUUUUUUUAAAAAGCAAAAUUACAGACACUGAUUAUAAGGGCUGAUUGUAUGCUGUCCUGCAUUCUCAGGAAGAUACCUGUGUCUAGAUUGGUUUGGUACAAGGAGGUUGGGAGUAGGCCAAAGAUACAGUACAGCCUCCUUUUCUCAUCGACAACGUUCUAAAUCAAAACCUACUGAUCAGCCAGUUUUAGAUUAAGUAGUACACAUAAACUAUGAUAGGUGAAGUCCAUUCUACCAGUGAAAAUUUGGGUGAUUUUACCAAUAGUUACACAAAUUUUUCUACAUUUAUUGUUGCUGGGGGCUGGGAAUAUGGCCUAGUGGCAAGAGUGCUUGCCUCGUAUACAUGA